CUUCUCUGUUGAAGAUUUUUGAAGUUGCUAUGUCUCAAUAAGGCGAAGAGGAGCUGAAGAGAAUGGAAAAAUAAGUGAUGGCGUUUCUUUUGACUAUUUAGGGAUUCAACCCCUUUUCUUCUUUUACCUAAUGAAAAUGUUCUUCUACAUUUGAUUUCUCAAAUACCCAAAAGCCUAUUCUUGAAUAAAAAAGCAAUCUUUAUGUGUUUUGUGCUUAUGGGUACUCAAGAGUGUUGUUGUUGUUGUUUUUUUUUUGAACUGCCAAAAUUAAAACUUAAGUUUCAGUCAAACAUUUGAUUUCUCAAACACCCAAAAGCCAUCUUUAUGUCUUUUGUGCUUAUGGGUACUCAGAGUGUUGUUGUUGUUGUUGUUUUUUUUUUUUUUUUUUUUUUCUGGAAUUGAUCUGCAAAAAUUAAAACUUAAGUUUUUUGACUGAUAAAGAAAAUGUUGUGACUGAUUUUAAAAAUUUUACAUAUUUUUUCUUGGAUUUUUUUUGAGUGUUUUAGUAAGUAAUGGAAUGAAAAAUGGAUCAUUAUGAGAUCAUGGAAGAAAUGGGGCGUGGAGCAUUUGGUGCUGCUAUUUUAGUUAAUCGCAAGAAGUAACUUGAAGAAAGAAAGAACUAUGUGUUAAAAAAGAUUCGAUUAGCUCGACAAACAGAACGUUGCAGAAGAUCUGCUCAUCAAGAGGUAGUACAUUGUGUUGUUUUUCAAUUUUAUUUUGGUUAUUGUUUUGCCUUUAUAGCCUGUUUCCUCGAGCUUUUGGGAAGUCAAAAAUGUUUAUUUUAUGGAGUUGAGGUCUCGACCUUUUAGAAAAUUCUGUUAAGAAAUUUGUGCAUUUCUUUUGUACGCUUGCCUAUGCUCCGGUUAACAUUUUGAUAGUGGCUGCAAAAUUUAGAACCCGUUUGGAUGGACUUAUUUUAAUUGGCUUUGAAGCAUAAGCCAUAAGUUAGGAAUUGUAGCUUUUGGCUUUUUAAAAACAAGUGCCUGAAAGCACUUUUUUACUUUAUCCAAACAGUUAACUAUUCUUUAGAAUAGGUAGGUAAAUUUUCUCGAAUCAAUGUUUAUUUUCUUUAUGACCAAGUUUACUUUGGCAGAUUGGAUGUCCUCCUCUGUCGGAGAACUUUACAGUACUGUUUAGAAAUUUUCUACUGCCUACUUGGAAUGACUGGGUUAUCUGAGAUGUCUCGACGUUUAGAGAUGGGUGCAGUUCCGUGCUGUUUUAGGGAUGUAGCUAUGUCAAUUCAUUACUACCGACUCCCGGAGAAGUUAAUUACCAGAUUUUUUGUAGCUAUUCUUGAAAUUCCUGUGGCAUUUGUUAUUCUUUUAACCAAUUCCGUACAUGCAUUGAUUGAAGAAAAGGGGCUAUAGAGAAAGUAAGUUCUCCAUCUUGAACAACUACUUUGUUCUUUGCUUGCUCCAUCAAUUAAGAAUUCUUUAUUGAAAGUACCAAUGAAGAGAUGUUUUUUUUAUUGUUACUUGGCUGCUGAUCAUAGUUAUCGUAGUUCGGGGGGAGCAUCUGCAUCUGGUGAAUUUACUUAUGACACCUCUUUGGCUGGCUUACAUUCUUACCUUGGUGAUGUCGAGGAUACUCAUAAUAGGCUGGCCUUCUUGGAUGACAGAGCUGUCUCAACUGUGCCUCUGUUCUAUCUAGAAGGUAAGUGCAUUACUCGGUUGCCUGUGACUUAUCUUUUCUUCAAUUACUGGAGCACCGGCCCAACAUCAGAGGCUCAUAAUCUUGAAAAAUGUUGGUGCAAGAUGCAAGAGACCCCAAAUUUCAUAAUGCAAGAAAUAACAAGAACUGGAGUUGAAUGAUAGAGUGCUUCCAGAGUAACUUUGCUUCCUUUCCUUAGUCGUAUGAUAACAUUGCAAUGAAGAAGCUGAGGGCAUAUAUGUGAAAGAAACCAAAAGCAUUUGCUUUGCAUAUUCUACAAAUUUCAACAAUACACUUAGGUGGCAAUUUUUUUGCACCGAAUUCUCCCAAAAAAGGUUGUUCAUUGCCUCAAAGUAGGAUUGGCUCUUUCCCUUGUGUCUGGCAAUUUUUUUUGCACCUAAUUCUCCCAAAAAAAAAAGGUUGUUCAUUGCCUCAAAGUAGGAUUGGCUCUUUCACUUGUGUCUUUGUUUUAUUACAUGUGGCCUCUGUGUGAAGUUGUUGGAUGGUAUGCUAUGUGGGCUGUUAUGGCAAUUGAAGUAGUAUUUGAGUACACUCUAGGUUCUACACUUUAUAAGUGUGUAAAUAGAGCUAUGGCAGCAUGUCUCGCUGAAUCUCUAGGAAUUGAUGUUCGCAGGUUGCAAGUCAAUCUGAAGAAACAUUUGAACCUGUUAUUCUCCAAGCUUAAGUUUUUCUCUUAGGUAUGUAAGAGUUUCUUAUAAUCUAUACUAUAUUAAAAGCAUGACGGGCCUUAGAAAUAUUGAUUGAACUUUUUGCCCCUCAUUAAAAGCCUCAAUAAUAGA